rnacentral:rRNA from 1 species
UACGUAGGGUGCGAGCGUUGUCCGGAAUUAUUGGGCGUAAAGAGCUCGUAGGCGGUGUGUCACGUCGGCCGUGAAAACCUGCAGCUUAACUGUGGGCGUGCGGUCGAUACGGGCAUCACUGGAGUUCGGCAGGGGAGACUGGAAUUCCUGGUGUAGCGGUGAAAUGCGCAGAUAUCAGGAGGAACACCGGCGGCGAAGGCGGCACUCUGGGCCGGUACUGACGCUGAGGAGCGAAAGCGUGGGUAGCAAACAGG